rfam:Planktothrix tepida PCC 9214 isolate BBR_PRJEB10993 genome assembly, scaffold: BBR_B_PL9214_scaffold46
GUCAGCACCCCGCUCUAAAGAGACGGGGCUAUGCGCGGAGCGCAGGCUUCGCCAACAUGCCUCUAACUUUGGAUAGCUGACCAGCUAUAGUCUUAAUUGACUACGUUAUCGGCAAGUGUUAAAGACCCACCAAUGGAUGCGAAGCUAGUCCGUUGCUCUGGAACUUAAAAGUUAAACAGUUUUACGAGGGGUAAGACAGUGCUUUUGAGAUAGUUACCGACCGAUAACAUUGGCGAAGCUAACAUUAC